CUGUCUCAACAAAUGACAAUGGUGUUAAAAUUCUAGCUAAUACAGAAGGAAUUAGGAAUUAGGCUGCUUCGGACAGUGGAGAAUCGUACAUUUGAUGCUUCUAGAGUUGCUUCUGCCGUUGUUGUGAAGGCACCUUCUUUUGGAUCUUUUCCUUCUAGCAAUGUGACUGUUGGAACAAGCCUUGCUGAUAGAGCUCCUCCAGUAGCAGCCAUGGUUGGGAUUAAUAAUGAUACUCGAAGUUUAGCUGAUGUGAAACCUAGAAUUGUUGAUGAAGCUAUGGAUAAAUCUAGGAUUUGGAAGCUGACAGAAAUAAAUGAACCAUCACAAUGUCGUUCCCUGAAACUUCCUGAUAGUUUAUCAUCAAUGAGGGUUUAUAGAUUAAUUUAUACAAAU